AAUAGGUUUUGUUAUUUCGAACAUUUGUUUACACAAACAAAAUACACUGAAAUUGGAUCGUGCAGAGGAUCAUCCUCAGUUAAGUGACUUUUUAAGAAUCCAACGAUAAAGGUAUCAAAAGGUGUUUUCUAAAAAGGCCUCUAAUAGAACGAGUAUUGAUGUUGAACAUGCUUCGCAACAAUUUGUCGCUUAGAUUUUCAGUAAUGAUGACCGAAAUACGGAAAUAAGCUUGAAGCUGGCCAUAUUAACUCAACAAUAUUAUAGAGUUUAUUCGAUGCUGUUUAAUUAAAACCAAGCAAGAGCUUUAUUUUUCCUUCUAAAUGUUACCAAUAUUUCAUUUUGUGCAUCGUCGUCGCUUACGGAAAAUUAAAUGCAUUAUGCUCAUUGUGGCCGUAGAAGCAAUUUUGCUUUGAAUUCAUAGUAUGACUCCUUGGGCCUUAACUGCUAUCUGGUAAAUUAUAAAAAAUCCAUAACCAACCGUUGUAAUAGAAAUAAUAAUAUAUACUAAUUCUAUGCCUUCCUCACUUUCUCAACGAAAACUGGUUGGUGUGCGGGCGAUGAUUCCACUCCGCUGCCACCACAUUUUCGUUUAACGAGUGGCUUUACUAUUGUUGGAAUCAUUGACAUUUUCAGUUAAAUUCAACAACAUGACAAUUAACCUCCUAUUUUGUUGGUAUAUACUACAUAAUUCAUAUUAAAGAAUUAAAAUUAUUAUAAUUUUAAAUCAAUUUUGUUUUGUUGACAAAAAUUCACAAAUCAGCUGUUUUCAUACUUGCUAGUUUUUACUGGAUCAAAUUUCCCCAGCACGAAUUUCUUUAACUAAACGUUUUUGGCUCAAAGAACAAGAUAAAGUAAAGUUAGGUAAGAAAUGUUUCUGCCCAUCUAGUAAACGAACAGAACUAAAAAUUGUACUCAAUCACGUUUGACGUUUAGGAAAGUAUUUAACAAGUAAGGAAGACCAAAAUUAGAUUUAAUGACUUAAAUAUGAAAUUUUCAGUCUAAUUAUGUGCAACGGUGUGGAAGACCAAUUGUCGAAAAUGUGGACAAAAAUAAAGAAAAUCGUCGAGUCUGACCGUCAUGAGAGCAUUGCUUCGACUGCCCAGAAGCUAGGCAUUUCACAAAAAAAAAAUCAACUUGGAACCACUUGAGAACGGCUGGAUACACAAAGACCUUCGUUGUAUGGGGGUCACAUGAGAUAACGAGGAAACAUCUCAUACACCGAAUUUCCAUUUGAGAAUAAAUUAUAACAAACUCGACACAUGUCUGAAGCGGAAGUGACGCGAGAUGAAAAUUGGAUCAUAUACAGCAACGUCAAACUAAAAAACGGUCUUGGUCGCAGGGCAGUGACACAACACAACCGGUCUCCAAGCCAGGUGUUUGGUGGAAUUGGCAAGGAAUCUUCCACUAUGAGCUGCUACUUCAUUUGAAGCUGUACUGUCAGCAAUUGCAGCCUCUGAAGGAAAUAAUUGCCCAAUAGCGCCCUGUUCUGACAAACAAGAGGAAAUUGUGUUUCAUCAGGACAUCGACAACGACUCGCCAAGAGUUUCCAGACCUGGGUUGCCAUUCCGGACAUUGGAAAGAGUGAUUACCAUCUGUUACUGUCUGUGGCGUAUGAUUUGUCAUAGGUUUUUAUGUGGUUAUAUGUAAAAUAAAUGUAAAUGGCCAAGUUUCAUUGUAAUUAUUUGAA